GUAAGUGAAGCGAUGAGGGCAGGCGGCUCACACGUGGGUUCAGCCGUCGGCCAGCCCUGAGGGGAAUGGCCCAGGCGUGCCCGGGCGGGCGCGGGGCAGCCGCGUGUUGCGGCACGAAUGAGCGGGCAGCGGGAGGGGAGCGCCGGGCCCCCCCGUGUGCCGCUGUGCUGUGGUGUGCCGGGGAAGAUCCUCUCGCCUUCUGCGUCGCUCUGUGAUGGUUUCACGCGUUUUGCUGUGUGUUUGGAAUAGGUUUGUCCCGCAGUCAUCACCGCGGGACCUGAGUGUCUCGGUCUAUUAAACGCACAUUCGAUUUCCUCCCAUGGGUUGAAAUUUUCACCCUCGGUUUUGUUUCCAACGACCCAGCGGCACUGGGUAAGCCCUUAUUCUCUCUGCCGUUCUGAAGAACAGCCAGAAGCGCCUCGUAUCCUCCGCGGGCACGUGGGUGCACGGCGCACGCCUCCCUCUCAGACGGCCUGCAGGAGAGGGUGGAAAUGAGUUAAGCUCUUGGGUGGAAAACCAGCCCCAGUUCCAAUCAGUGGCCUAAAGGCAGGAGCUUUGGUCCGAACCAGAAACUGUGUGUGAUUCAGCACUGAGCAGAUAAAACGUGUUUACUUUAGCCCACUGAGUUAGGGGCUGGCUUUGCCUCCAGAACAGUCCCUGGUGAACUGGCUCAGGUGUGGGAUUGUUGCUCUGAGGUCAUGGCUUCGUGCUGAUAGCGAGUGUGAAAAGGGCUCCUCUCAAUGCGCGCGUUAUCAUGUGAGGAUAUGCUUUAUCUCUGGUGCUUUUGCACGAAGAAUAGCAUUCAUCCAAAAAAGUCACGGUAAAUAAUAGCGUUAUCUACCUUGUUAACAGUAUAAUGUGGUUUUCUUCUCACUUUGCUUCCUUAACAAGGUGUAAAGUUGCAGUUUGCCUGAUAAAGCAGGGCAGUAAAAACAGAGGUGCAGUUAGUGUUUGUACUCUUUAGUCGUGAAACUGAAACUACAGGAGGAGCUGUGGGCAAUAAAGAGAGCUUUCAGAUAUCCAUAUCAACUUAAAUUACACAGUUCUUUAAGAGGUGGGUUAUAAAGUUACUGAUAAGAGCGCUGUAACUGCGAGAUAUAAGAGUUGAUCUUCCAGGAGUGAUGCCAACAUGCAGCUCUUCAUUAAAAAUCAUAUUCUGAGCUUUCGGUGCCCCAUCUGAGGAAUCAAUGCAACAAUCGAUUCUGACAGGAAAGGUUUCCGAGCCAAUGCGUCUUAUUGUUAGCGCAGCUGCAAAGACAGAAAGCACUGCUCAGGGAAUACCCAACUGUGGGUUCGAUGUCACUUUUGUUAAUGCUAAAUGUACAAUCCAAGGGACGUUUACUGGACAGCAAACUUUGGAAAGGAGAACUUAAAAAAAAAAAGGUAACUUUGAGGAUUUUUUUUUUGUGUUAAAUGCUAUGCAAUGCACUUUUACCUGUAAUUCAGUGAAGGUUUGUGCCAUCAGCUGCACAGAAGUGUGGUUCUGCCCAUAUCUCACCACUAACGUGAGAAGUUAUACAUGGAUCUGUCUAUGAGCCUGGAACCCAGCCACUCUUUCUGGGAAACUGUGUGCCUAUGACUCAGUACACACAUACUUAUCUAUUAAUAUGUUUGCAGAAGCAGACCUCACAUCAUAAAAAAAUACUGCAGGCUAAUUCAACUAUUACUAAUUGUAUGGCCUAAAACCAAAUUGUUUAAUAUUUUGUUAAUAUGUGAAUAUAACAGGAUAUUUUAUCUUAAUGUACAUUGAUAAUGGUUCUUUUAUUGCUCCUUCAAGUUUCUGCUAGAAAGGAAUGGAACUGAAGGAAUUUUGUGGUCAUUAGAUGAAUCCAAUUCAUAGAUAUUUAAGAUAUUUGGUUAAAUUACAGUAAAUGUCUGAAGUAAUAGUUUUUGUAUGUCUGAUGUUAAGUUUGUCUGUCAUUUAAAGCUAAAUGCAUCUCAUUCCAGAAAGUACCGGAUUUCAGUAAAAAUACAAGGAUUCCAGUAAUGGUGCUGAAUAUUCCAAAUUCCCUUUGUUGAGUAUAUCGAUGCAGUCUCAGCUUUGAUCAAGUUCAAAAGGCAAACUGUGGCAAAUGGGAAGAAUUUGUCCUUUUCCUAGUGCUGUAGUUGUGUGAAGCACAUUUAGGAGUCCUGCAGUGCCCUGACGUUGCAGUUUGCAGCACCUGUGCAGACAUUUAUUGCUGAGUGCCUCAGCUCCAGGAGGCAAUCAUAUCCAGAGCUCUGCAGCUGGAUAUUCCCCUUCACAGGUGUUACGAUGAGGGAGGACAGCCCCGGUGUACAAGAAGUGCAAGGAAGAGAGAUUCUGCCUCCUCUUCAGGAGCACAGAAAACAGAAAGGACAAACCAGGACUCCAAAGCCUGGUCAAAAUUGAGACUCUGCUGGCCAGCAGCCACCUUUACUGUUGAAAAUCUGCAGUCGUUGGCAAAAGGUCUGUCCUGCAGUCCAUUGAGUUCCUGCCAGUGGAAGACUUAAGGAAAGUACUGCUUCUCCUAAUGGUUGUUGCUACUGCAAGCAGACACGCUGUACCGUCUAGGGCCUGGGUGAAUGGUAAAUAGCCUGAAAGCUUCACUGACACCUCACAUAUGAUAACCUAAUAACACAUCUUUGUUUUUCUCAUAGGUAUUUAAUCUCUGAUACAACAGCGAAGAUACUGCAGUGGUGUCAGCCUAUCUCAGGGCCAAAUUUUAUAUAUAUAUAUAUAUAUUUAUUUAUUU
rnacentral:lncRNA from 1 species